rnacentral:misc_RNA from 1 species
GAUGAAGAACGCAGCGAAAUGCGAUAAGUAAUGUGAAUUGCAGAAUUCAGUGAAUCAUCGAAUCUUUGAACGCACAUUGCGCCCCCUGGUAUUCCGGGGGGCAUGCCUGUUCGAGCGUCAUUUCACCACUCAAGCCUCGCUUGGUAUUGGGCAUCGCGGUCCGCCGCGCGCCUCAAAUCGACCGGCUGGGUCUUCUGUCCCCUAAGCGUUGUGGAAACUAUUCGCUAAAGGGUGUUCGGGAGGCUACGCCGUAAAACAACCCCAUUUCUAAGGUUGACCUCGGAUCAGGUAGGGAUACCCGCUGAACUUAAGCAUAUCCAAUAAGCGGAGGA